GGACAGAAAGACCCUAUGAAGCUUUACUGUAACUUGAAAUUGGCUUCGGGUUUUAUUUGCGCAGUAUAGGUGGGAGGCUUUGACGUUAAUCUUGCGGGAUUAUCUGAGCCAUCAGUGAGAUACCACUCUAAUACAACUAGAAUUCUAACCCUGUAUCGUUAGCCGGUCAGGGAACAGUUUCAGGCGGGCAGUUUGACUGGGGCGGUCGCCUCCCAAAAGGUAACGGAGGCGCACAAAGGUUUCCUCAGGUCGGUCAGAAAUCGAUCGUAGAGUGUAAAGGCAAAAGGAAGCUUGACUGUGAGACCUACAAGUCGAACAGAGACGAAAGUCGGUCUUAGUGAUCUGGCGAUAUUGAGUGGAAAAGUCGUCACUCAACGGAUAAAAGUUACUCUAGGGAUAACAGGCUGA
rnacentral:rRNA from 1 species